UACGAAGGGGGCGAGCGUUGUCCGGAAUUAUUGGGCGUAAAGAGCUCGUAGGCGGCCUGUUGCGUCCGCUGUGAAAGCCCGGGGCUUAACCCCGGGUCUGCAGUGGAUACGGGCAGGCUAGAGGUAGGUAGGGGAGAAUGGAAUUCCCGGUGUAGCGGUGAAAUGCGCAGAUAUCGGGAGGAACACCGGUGGCGAAGGCGGUUCUCUGGGCCUUACCUGACGCUGAGGAGCGAAAGCGUGGGGGAGCGAACAGG
rnacentral:rRNA from 1 species